AUAAGGAGCUUGCUCCUUUGACGUUAGCGGCGGACGGGUGAGUAACACGUGGGUAACCUACCUAUAAGACUGGGAUAACUUCGGGAAACCGGAGCUAAUACCGGAUAACAUUUGGAACCGCAUGGUUCUAAAGUGAAAGAUGGUUUUGCUAUCACUUAUAGAUGGACCCGCGCCGUAUUAGCUAGUUGGUAAGGUAACGGCUUACCAAGGCGACGAUACGUAGCCGACCUGAGAGGGUGAUCGGCCACACUGGAACUGAGACACGGUCCAGACUCCUACGGGAGGCAGCAGUAGGGAAUCUUCCGCAAUGGGCGAAAGCCUGACGGAGCAACGCCGCGUGAGUGAUGAAGGGUUUCGGCUCGUAAAACUCUGUUAUUAGGGAAGAACAAACGUGUAAGUAACUGUGCACGUCUUGACGGUACCUAAUCAGAAAGCCACGGCUAACUACGUGCCAGCAGCCGCGGUAAUACGUAGGUGGCAAGCGUUAUCCGGAAUUAUUGGGCGUAAAGCGCGCGUAGGCGGUUUCUUAAGUCUGAUGUGAAAGCCCACGGCUCAACCGUGGAGGGUCAUUGGAAACUGGGAAACUUGAGUGCAGAAGAGGAAAGUGGAAUUCCAUGUGUAGCGGUGAAAUGCGCAGAGAUAUGGAGGAACACCAGUGGCGAAGGCGACUUUCUGGUCUGUAACUGACGCUGAUGUGCGAAAGCGUGGGGAUCAAACAGGAUUAGAUACCCUGGUAGUCCACGCCGUAAACGAUGAGUGCUAAGUGUUAGGGGUUUCCGCCCCUUAGUGCUGCAGCUAACGCAUUAAGCACUCCGCCUGGGGAGUACGACCGCAAGGUUGAAACUCAAAGGAAUUGACGGGGACCCGCACAAGCGGUGGAGCAUGUGGUU
rnacentral:rRNA from 1 species